UCGGGAUUAGUGGCGGACGGGUGAGUAACACGUGGGAACGUGCCUUUUGGUUCGGAACAACUCAGGGAAACUUGAGCUAAUACCGGAUAAGCCUUUCGAGGGAAAGAUUUAUCGCCAUUAGAGCGGCCCGCGUAGGAUUAGCUAGUUGGUGGGGUAAAGGCCCACCAAGGCUACGAUCCUUAGCUGGUCUGAGAGGAUGAUCAGCCACAUUGGGACUGAGACACGGCCCAAACUCCUACGGGAGGCAGCAGUGGGGAAUCUUGCGCAAUGGGCGAAAGCCUGACGCAGCCAUGCCGCGUGAAUGAUGAAGGUCUUAGGAUUGUAAAAUUCUUUCACCGGGGACGAUAAUGACGGUACCCGGAGAAGAAGCCCCGGCUAACUUCGUGCCAGCAGCCGCGGUAAUACGAAGGGGGCUAGCGUUGCUCGGAAUUACUGGGCGUAAAGGGAGCGUAGGCGGAUAGUUUAGUCAGAGGUGAAAGCCCAGGGCUCAACCUUGGAAUUGCCUUUGAUACUGGCUAUCUUGAGUACGGAAGAGGUAUGUGGAACUCCGAGUGUAGAGGUGAAAUUCGUAGAUAUUCGGAAGAACACCAGUGGCGAAGGCGACAUACUGGUCCGUUACUGACGCUGAGGCUCGAAAGCGUGGGGAGCAAACAGGAUUAGAUACCCUGGUAGUCCACGCUGUAAACGAUGAGUGCUAGUUGUCGGCAGGCAUGCCUGUCGGUGACGCAGCUAACGCAUUAAGCACUCCGCCUGGGGAGUACGGUCGCAAG
rnacentral:rRNA from 1 species